rnacentral:rRNA from 1 species
GAUACCUACAUAUCUUAAAGUCGCCAGAUCUUUUCUGAUCCUGGAAGGUAAGCAAGGUCAUUCCUGAUUAGUACUUAGAUGGGAGACCUCCAGAGGAUCCAGGGUACAGUAGUCU